AAGGUUCGUUUUCCCAUUGAAGUACAUCGCCACGACACAUUCGGGGCGGGACGCCUCCUCAGGGUAGUAGAAACACAGACACUGACUGGCCAAGUGGGAGAAACAAGACGCAGAAGGGGGUAGAGAGAGAUAAAUCGAGCAACAAGGAGAUAGCAAGAGAGAGAGGAGAGAGAGAGCGAGGGGGGAGGGAGGGAGAGAUGGUUCGGAAGGCGACUGUUGAGUUCGAUGAGGGACCUCCUGAUGACUUCGACCCCAACAACCCCUAUGCCGACCCUGUGGCCAUGUUAGAGUACAGGGAGCACCUUGUGAGAGAGAAAUGGAUCCAAAUUGAGACGGCUAAGAUCUUGAGAGAGAAACUCAAGUGGUGCUAUCGCGUAGAGGGGGUGAACCACCUUCAGAAGUGCAGGCACCUCGUCCAACAAUACCUCGAUGCCACACGUGGGGUUGGCUGGAACAAAGAGAAUAGACCUCCUGGUCUUCAUGGUCCCAAGGUCACAGAUGAGGAAUGACUGACAUCUAUCAAGACGUAUGUUUAUGGAUCUUGCGAGUAUUUCACUAAUGGACCUCAGUUGGAAGUUGCAAAAUGGGGUUUAAGAAGUUUCAUUGGAGUGUGUUGACUGAAAAUCUACAUUACUUCCAUUUUUAAUAUUAUAGUCUGGACUGUUUUCGUUUUCUUUUGGAUUGCAAAAUUGGUUCGUGUUUUCGGUUUCUGUGAAAUUGAAUCAGCAUAAUAAAGUUGCAUUCUUGUGGUGGUGAAUAUGAACUUCAGCAGACUCCAUGACUUAGUCAUA